AUACGGAGGGUGCAAGCGUUACUCGGAAUCACUGGGCGUAAAGCGCGCGCAGGCGGCUAUUUAAGUUGGAUGUGAAAGCCUACGGCUCAACCGUAGAACUGCAUCCAAAACUAUUUAGCUAGAGUGUGGGAGAGGAAGAUGGAAUUAGUUGUGUAGGGGUAAAAUCCGUAGAGAUAACUAGGAAUACCAAAAGCGAAGGCAAUCUUCUGGAACACUACUGACGCUGCGGCGCGAAAGCGUGGGGAGCAAACAGGAUUAGAUACCCUAGUAGUCC
rnacentral:rRNA from 1 species